CCUACGGGAGGCAGCAGUGGGGAAUAUUGCACAAUGGGCGGAAGCCUGAUGCAGCAACGCCGCGUGAGGGAUGACGGCCUUCGGGUUGAAACCUCUUUUAGCAGGGAAGCGGUACCUGCAGAAAAAGCACCGGCUAACUACGUGCCAGCAGCCGCGGUAAUACGUAGGGUGCAAGCGUUAUCCGGAAUUAUUGGGCGUAAAGAGCUCGUAGGCGGUUUGUCGCGUCUGCCGUGAAAUCCUCAGGCUCAACUUGAGGCUUGCGGUGGGUACGGGCAGACUUGAGUGCGGUAGGGGAGAUUGGAAUUCCUGGUGUAGCGGUGGAAUGCGCAGAUAUCAGGAGGAACACCGAUGGCGAAGGCAGAUCUCUGGGCCGUACUGACGCUGAGGAGCGAAAGGGUGGGGAGCAAACAGGCUUAGAUACCCUUGUAGUC
rnacentral:rRNA from 1 species